rnacentral:rRNA from 1 species
GGAAUAUUGGACAAUGGGCGCAAGCCUGAUCCAGCAAUGCCGCGUGGGUGAAGAAGGCCUUCGGGUUGUAAAGCCUUUUUGUACGGGAAGAAAUCCUGUCGGUUAAUACCCGGCGGGGCUGACGGUACCGUAAGAAUAAGCACCGGCUAACUUCGUGCCAGCAGCCGCGGUAAUACGAAGGGUGCAAGCGUUAAUCGGAAUUACUGGGCGUAAAGCGUGCGUAGGCGGUUCGUUAAGUCUGUCGUGAAAGCCCUGGGCUCAACCUGGGAAUGGCGAUGGAUACUGGCGAGCUAGAGUCAGGUAGAGGGUGGCGGAAUUCCCGGUGUAGCGGUGAAAUGCGUAGAGAUCGGGAGGAACAUCUGUGGCGAAGGCGGCCACCUGGACCAUGACUGACGCUGAGGCACGAAAGCGUGGGGGGCAA